rnacentral:tRNA from 1 species
GCUUUCGUGGUGUAACGGUAGCACACUCGGCUCGCAUUCGAGAGGUCCAGGUUCGAGUCUCGGAGAGGGCA